rnacentral:lncRNA from 1 species
CUGGGAAGGGUGGGGUGGUCAUGAAGUCCUGAGAGAGCAGAGGGACACACCAACUUCUCUUGUUGGUUCCCUCAACCCUGCCCAUACCUAUGGGUAAUCAGAGAUGGAUUCAGUCUCCAGUUAGGAUCCUCAUCAAGGUAUUUGUAUGGGGGAUUCCAUGCAGAUGGUGUAUAGAGAGAAGAUAGACACAAGGGAUCUUCAUAGCCAAGGACUGGAUUUGAACAAGUCAGUCUCCAGCUAUGUUUUAGACACUGAGGACUGUGCCCGUCAUCCCUUAGAGCUUCUCUCUGGGCCACUGGCUCGAAGGGCACAUCUCAGGGAAAAAGAACCCAGAAUUCACAACGGAACAUCAACAUAUCCAAAAGACAAGUUUCAAUGAACAGAUUCUCAGCAAAAGGACUCUAAGGAUGCAGAGGAAGGGAAGUCACCCAAUCUGGGAAGGAGAUUACUCAGUCUCGGGUAUGUGUAUCAGCAAUGUGAAAACGGACUAGUACAUCUCUAGAGGCACAUGCCAUGUGGUCCAGCCAUAAUUAUUUGUUGUCACAACUAAGUUUCCUUUCUAUAUGAAAAGAUUAUAUUGAUC